CAGUCGCCGCGGUAAUACGUAGGUGGCAAGCGUUGUCCGGAAUUAUUGGGCGUAAAGGGCUCGCAGGCGGUUUCUUAAGUCUGAUGUGAAAGCCCCCGGCUCAACCGGGGAGGGUCAUUGGAAACUGGGAAACUUGAGUGCAGAAGAGGAGAGUGGAAUUCCACGUGUAGCGGUGAAAUGCGUAGAGAUGUGGAGGAACGCCAGUGGCGAAGGCGACUCUCUGGUCUGUAACUGACGCUGAGGAGCGAAAGCGUGGGGAGCGAACAGGAUUAGAUACCCCCGUAGUCCCUGUCUCUUAUAC
rnacentral:rRNA from 1 species